rnacentral:rRNA from 1 species
AGUGAACGCUGGCGGUAGGCCUAACACACGCAAGUCGAACGGCAGCACAGGAGAGCUUGCUCUCUGGGUGGCGAGUGGCGGACGGGUGAGGAAUACAUCGGAAUCUACUCUGUCGUGGGGGAUACCGUAGGGAAACUUCCGCUAAUACCGCAUAUGACCUACGGGUGAAAGCAGGGGACCUUCGGGCCUUGCUCGACUGAAUGAGCCGAUGUCGGAUUAGCUAGUUGGCGGGGUAAAGGCCCACCAAGGCGACGAUCCGUAGCUGGUCUGAGAGGAUGAUCAGCCACACUGGAACUGAGACACGGUCCAGACUCCUACGGGAGGCAGCAGUGGGGAAUAUUGGACAAUGGCGCAAGCCUGAUCCAGCCAUACCGCGUGGGUGAAGAAGGCCUUCGGGUUGUAAAGCCCUUUUGUUGGGAAAGAAAUCCAGCUGGCUAAUACCCGGUUGGGAUGACGGUACCCAAAGAAUAAGCACCGGCUAACUUCGUGCCAGCCGCCGCCGUAA